UGGAUCAAUAAUGAGUAUUGGUGGAGGUAUCUGAAUCAACACCUUUGAUGAAGCCCUCUGUGUAACUCUGAGGUCCAU
ensembl:snoRNA small nucleolar RNA, C/D box 113-5